GACGAACGCUGGCGGCGUGCUUAACACAUGCAAGUCGAACGGAAAGGCCCUGCUUUUGCGGGGUGCUCGAGUGGCGAACGGGUGAGUAACACGUGAGUAACCUGCCCUUGACUUUGGGAUAACUUCAGGAAACUGGGGCUAAUACCGGAUAGGAGCUCCUGCUGCAUGGUGGGGGUUGGAAAGUUUCGGCGGUUGGGGAUGGACUCGCGGCUUAUCAGCUUGUUGGUGGGGUAGUGGCUUACCAAGGCUUUGACGGGUAGCCGGCCUGAGAGGGUUACCGGCCACAAUGGGACUGAGAUACGGCCCAGACUCCUACGGGAGGCAGCAGUGGGGAAUAUUGCACAAUGGGCGGAAGCCUGAUGCAGCAACGCCGCGUGCGGGAUGACGGCCUUCGGGUUGUAAACCGCUUUCGCCUGUGACGAAGCGUGAGUGACGGUAAUGGGUAAAGAAGCACCGGCUAACUACGUG
rnacentral:rRNA from 1 species